UGACAGCAGCCGGAAGCAGUCAUAGGA
rnacentral:sRNA from 1 species